rnacentral:rRNA from 1 species
GCACGCGCGCUACACUGACGAAGCCAGCGAGUACUGGCGUUAGCCUUCCUUAGCCGAAAGGUUCGGGUAAUCUUGUUAAACUUCGUCGUGCUGGGGAUAGUCCUUUGCAAUUAUCGGACUUGAACGAGGAAUUCCUAGUAAGCGCGAUUCAUCAGAUCGCGUUGAUUACGUCCCUGCCCUUUGUACACACCGCCCGUCGCUACUACCGAUUGAAUGGCUUAGUGAGGCCCUCGGAUUGGCGUAUUGCUGCCGGCAACGGCUGGCAUUAUGCCGAGAAGUUGGUCAAACUUGGUCAUUUAGAGGAAGUAAAAGUCGUAACAAGGUAUCCGUAGGUGAACCUGCGGAUGGAUCAUUAACGU